rnacentral:rRNA from 1 species
GUGGGGAAUCUUAGACAAUGGGCGCAAGCCUGAUCUAGCCAUGCCGCGUGAGCGAUGAAGGCCUUAGGGUUGUAAAGCUCUUUCACCGAUGAAGAUAAUGACGGUAGUCGGAGAAGAAGCCCCGGCUAGCUUCGUGCCAGCAGCCGCGGUAAUACGAAGGGGGCUAGCGUUGUUCGGAUUUACUGGGCGUAAAGCGCACGUAGGCGGUUUGUUAAGUCAGGGGUGAAAUCCCGGAGCUCAACUCCGGAACUGCCUUUGAUACUGGCAAGCUAGAGUCCGGAAGAGGUAAGUGGAACUCCUAGUGUAGAGGUGGAAUUCGUAGAUAUUAGGAAGAACACCAGUGGCGAAGGCGGCUUACUGGUCCGGAACUGACGCUGAGGUGCGAAAGCGUGGGGAGCAAACAGGAUUAGAAACCCGAGUAGUCC